UGAGAAGCUAGUGUAGAAGCCUAGCAGUUGUAAUUAUGCUGCUGGUCCUGAGGCUGGCCUAGAGUUGGCAACAAGAAGUCAUUUAAUUCCAUCAAUUUGUCCCCCCUUCUUUCCAAAAAACAUUCAUUGACGUCCUCUGGGAGUGAGUGAUGGUACUAGACAUUGAACAUACGAAGUUGAAAUUGACUAAGAUACACAGAUUCAUUACCUCAAAACCCCCAUACCAAUCAUCUAGGGACACAUGGAAUGAAUUAAAGAAAAAAAAAAAAAGAAGAAAAAAUUUCAGUUUUACUCAAAAGUAUCCAAUCUUGAAUCUCUUAGUCAAAACUAAGGAGAAUCUACGUUAAUAUGAAAAGUAAAUGAAAUCCAGCCAAGAUAAUCAAGAAACCUACUCUGGCUAGCUUCAGGGUAUCUCUCCAAUUUCCAAUCCCAUCCUGAUCAUGGUCCUCAUGGAUGCCUCCUGAUGCCAGAUGAAAUCAAUCACAUGAAAUAAACAAAAUGCCUACAGAAUGAUGUCAAUGGCACCACUCAUCAGAUAGCAAGCUGCAUUAUGAAGUAACAGAUGAGGUCUUUCCGGCCUUGAAUGCCUUCUGCUCAACCUUUGUCUGCACUUUAAGAGCAACUUCAGUCUUCAUCUCAGUCAGGAUGCCCUCCAUGUCAACAGCAUACGGUGACUAGUUAAGGGGUAGACAUGCGCCACCUGGCUCAGCCUUGAGAAUUUUGCUUGAGUUGCUGAGACAAAGAUAUGUGCUUUCCGCUGGGAUAUAACUGUGGUAGAAUAAAGGAAAGACUCCCAAAAGCCUCCUUUGCAACCCCAGUGAAGAAUCUAAUGGAGGGUUGAAGCCAACACAGAGAAAACCAAGUCCAGGGAUGGUGAGAGACUGUGUGCGCCCCUGGAUCCAGGUACUGAAUGCUGGCUAGGUCCAUCCCUGGACUUUUCAGGGGGUGAGGGAUGAGGAAGGAGCAGACUGUGAUGACUAUCACCAUUUGAGUUUUAUUCUGCUAUAUGCCACUUUUCUAUCAAGUAACCCGAGGAAACACCUUAUAGGAAUAGCUCUCAAGACGUGGUUCCUGGGCCAGCAGCACCUGGCAGCUCGUUAGAGAUGGGAUAGAGACAUGGGCCAUCUUUUCGAUGAAGUCACAUAUGAUCUCAGCUAAGGAGGAGCAUAAGGAGGAGAUACUGCUGUACGUAAUGAAGACCUAAGAAGAUGCUCAGUUUUUCUCUGUGGGUUGUUGCUUCACUGCAUCGACUUAUCCCCUAUGGCUGUGAAAGGCGGCCCAGGAAGCACCCAUCCUGUUGCCUCUGGACUGCCACCAAACUGCCAGCCAUGGGCUUCAUACUUUACAAUAGGAGAAGUGCUAUCUUUUAAAAUGAGGUUUUUAUAAUUUACUUGUAAAAAUAAAUAUUCAGGCCUUACAAAAUGAUUUUUUUAAAAAAAAAUUGGGCUUGAUUUUACUCCCCUGAAUCCAACCACACAGCCCAAAUACUUUGUAAACUGUAAGUAGCUAAAAUGGGGUUCUUCUUAAAAUUCACAUAGUAUGGAGAUUCUUCCAUUCAGUGGGUUUGAAGUAAUGGCCAGGAAUAUGAAUGUUUAAUAAAUACCUCGUCUAAUUGUGUCAGUGAUCAUCAUAAACGGACCUUGCUUUGAGUAAUCCUGUUCAGGUGCUCCUUCUCCUAGCUGCUAUACUGAACACUGGGGGUGGGAGAAAGAGGAAAAAGGGAGAUAAAUGGAGAAAUGGGAUGGAAGGGGGGAAAACUGCAGCUUUAAUCUUCAAAAAAAGAGUUUUUUUCUGCUUUCCCUUCCCAUCUUCCAGCACUGAUAAGAAUACCUCAAACUGAAAGUCAGAUUUCAUCUUUCAUUAAGAAUUCCUAGCUGCUGGAAAGCUAUAAGGCUCUAAGAGCCCUUCAGUGACUCAAGUAGAAAUACUUCUAAAGGGCUAAAGUAAGAGUCGAAGUCUGAGCCGUGUCCCCGAAAUCUCCCUGAAAUGGGCUUCUAUUCAAAUGAAUUACAAUACAAUUUACUCUCUCCUCAUUAUUCUCCUUGCAAAAAGCUGCUGAAACACCAUAAGGAAAAAAUUAUAUAUUAUAUUCUCAGAGAACGGUCAUCCCAAUCAUUUCAAAAUGCAAAUGAUUAUAGAAAUUUGGAGCAGUGGCAAUAAUCACAAAUCCCCACUGACAGCAUAGUCAUUGAAAAAAUCAUUGGAGUGAGCUACCCCUUAAAGGGUUUUAACUUGCAAUCAAGUCAAGUGCUAUUCCAGUGAAGCAAGCAGUUGUUUGAAGGACGGAAGUUCAACCCAAAGUGGGAAAGCAACAUAAUAAGGGUGCCAUGAAAAAUAUCCAAUAGUCUAACAUGCAAAGCCGAUCUAUCAAGUUUUGCAAGUUACCAAAUUAGGUCAGCCCUGGUGAAUGUCCUUCAGGUAGUCUUGCUCAAACAAGCAAAUUAGACCCUUUUAAUGAAAUAUAAUACUGAACAAAGGAAGUAAUCCUCCAAUCUUAACAACACUCUACUUACUUUCCACUAUAUAUUUAACAUUUACUGAGCACCUGUUGCAUGCAAGCUCCAUGCUGUGAGGUUGGAAAUGGGAGGGUGUAUAAUUAAUAAGACAUGAUGCGAUACCCUCAAAGGAACUCACAAUCCAAUAGGGAUCUAGCUGUGAGUAAAUCAUUCCCAGACAGGAACAGAAGGCGUAUGGAAGAUUCAAUUCUCAAGGAUUCUGCUCUCAAGCAAUGAGAGUGAGGAGAGAAAAGGAAGAGACAUUUCUUUAGAGUUUCCUCCAUGCCUGGCACCGUGCUAAGUUCUGUGCAUUUGUAUUUAUUGUUGGUCAAAUACAUGCCUAUUUUUCCACCACAUCCUAGAAGCAGACUGUCUUCCCGGGUCAGAAGCUUAGUCAUGCGCUGAUUGGGCUGAACAGGUUUAAAACUCAUCCUCUUUGUGGAUGGCGAAAGCACUAGUUUCUAGACUGCAAAAAAUAUAUUCCAACAAUGUAUUUUUGUCACCCACUCUAAAUCACUAAGCAACAAAGCUGCUAAUGAAACAGUAGGUAGCUUGUCUUUUUCCUCACUCAUGAUAGUCAAGGAAGGUUUUCUGUUUCUCCAUGCUUUCUCUGUGCUCCCUCUGGAUAUGGGCAUCUUGGAAACAGACCAGUU
rnacentral:lncRNA from 1 species